rnacentral:rRNA from 1 species
AUAUCAUGGAGAGUUUGAUCCUGGCUCAGGACGAACGCUGGCGGCGUGCUUAACACAUGCAAGUCGAACGAGAAGAGAUGAGAAGCUUGCUUCUUAUCAAUUCGAGUGGCAAACGGGUGAGUAACGCGUAAGCAACCUGCCCUUCAGAUGGGGACAACAGCUGGAAACGGCUGCUAAUACCGAAUACGUUCUUUUUGUCGCAUGGCAGAGGGAAGAAAGGGAGGCUCUUCGGAGCUUUCGCUGAAGGAGGGGCUUGCGUCUGAUUAGCUAGUUGGAGGGGUAACGGCCCACCAAGG